UACGAAGGGGGGCUAGCGUUGUUCGGAAUUACUGGGCGUAAAGCGCGCGCAGGCGGUCUUCCAAGUCAGUGGUGAAAGCCCGGAGCUCAACUCCGGAACUGCCAUUGAAACUGUUGGACUUGAGGAUGAGAGAGGUGAGUGGAAUUCCCAGUGUAGAGGUGAAAUUCGUAGAUAUUCGCAAGAACACCAGUGGCGAAGGCGGCUCACUGGCCCGGUACUGACGCUGAGGUGCGAAAGCGUGGGGAGCAAACAGG
rnacentral:rRNA from 1 species